rnacentral:lncRNA from 7 species
UGAGAGGCCAGCAAGGGCGGGAUGGAGCCUCUGCUGACCAAUGAGAGGCCGGCACGGGCCUGCACCGAGCUGGGAGCAGAGCGGACACCCUCAAAGCAGCAGCAGUGGGAAGGGGCUCCAAGAAGCAAAGAAUGGCGGCGAGGCGCUGCCGGGAGCAGCAAAAAGGCAGUGAGGCUCUCCCUGAAGCACCACAGCGGUUUGUUCGCCGACAGCACACACGCGUGUGUGGCCCAUCCCUGCGUGCAACCACAUGCACGCACACACAUGCAACCCCAUCCCGUUGCGCAGCAGUGCACGCGCAAAGACGCGUGCAGCCUCAUCUGCAGCUCCACAGGCAGGAGGAGACGGGCCGAGGAGAGCGCUCCCUCGGAUGAAAGGCAGUGGGCAGCCAUGGCAAAGGCUGAGGCGCUCAGUGAGAGCUUUGCCUCGGUCUUUGCAGGUGGUCGGGCUUCCCGUGCCUGCCGGGACCCUGAAGCCCUCGGUGUGGGUGAGAGGAGCGCAUUCCGUCCCACUGUAACGGCGGAAGAAGUCUGAGUCCUCCGCGGGGAACUGAAUGUAUGUAAGUCCGUGGGGCCGGAUGAUAUCCAUCCCAGGCUUCUGCGAGAUGGCUGAUGUGGUGCCGAGCCGCUCUCCGUUGCAUCGGAAAAGUCCUGGCUGUCUGGGGAAGUCCCCGGUGACUGGAAAAGCAGAAAGGGAAACAGUGCUCCCAUUUGUAAGGACGGGAGAAAGGAGGACCCGGGGAACUACGGGCCGGUGAGCCGCAGCUCUGUGCCUGGGAAGGUCCUGGAGCAGAUCCUCCUAGAAGCUGUGUUAAGGCACAUCCGAGACAAAGAGGUGAUCCGAGACAGCCAGCAUGGCUUCACCAAGGGCAGAUCGUGCCUGGCCGAUCUGGUGGCCCUCUGUGAUGGAGUGACGGCUUCAGUGGACGGGGGAGGGGCGGUGGAUGUCAUCUACCUGGACUGCUGCAAGGCCUUUGCCAUGGUCCCUCACCACAUCCUGCACUCUC